GACGAACGCUGGCGGCGUGCUUAACACAUACAAGUCGAACGGAAAGGCCUGCUUUCCCUUGUGGAUUGCGGGUACUCGAGUGGCGAACGGGUGAGUAACACGUGAGUGAUCUGCCCCCAACUUGGGUAUAAGCCUGGGAAACUGGGUCUAAUUCCCGAUAGGACUGCAGGGUGGUGCCUGUGGUGGAAAACGAUUUUCUAGUGGUUGGGGAUGAGCCCGCGGCCUAUCAGCUUGUUGGUGGGGUAAUGGCCUACCAAGGCGGCGACGGGUAGCCGGCCUGAGAGGGUGGACGGCCACAUUGGGACUGAGAUACGGCCCAGACUCCUACGGGAGGCAGGAGUGGGGAAUAAUGCACCAUGGGCGGAAGCCUGAUGCAGCGACGCCGCGUGGGGGAUGACGGCCUUCGGGUUGUAAACUCCUUUCGACCGCGAGGAAGCCACCUGGUUGGAAGGGUGGUGACGGUAGUGGUAGAAGAAGCACCGGCUAACUACGUG
rnacentral:rRNA from 1 species